UCCUGUCACCACCUCAAUGUCUGGUCUUGUUGUUACUUCUUGAAGCAACUUGCCUGAGCUGCUCUGUGGUCCCAUCACUGUCUGUCAGUCAUCUGCUCAGCAUUUGGAUUCCCCAUGAACCUUCAAAUUAAGGACAGUGUUACUGCUCUGACCAGACCCAACAUGCAAAACCACAAAGAGCCAAGCAGCACUCAAGAGCCCAGAUCUGUUUGCACAGGCCUUCCAUUAAUCUUCAGCCACUCUCCACUGUUUCACAGUCUGUCAAUGCAGCAGAUUCCUGCUCCAAUGCUUGCAUCUUAUCUCUGUCUUUAGAAUGCAGCUCUCUCCAAAUAUCCACCAGACCAAGUUUCUUACCAGUAUUUUGCAAACUGAGGAUUUACAACCAAAUAAAAAGUGGGGUGAGGAUUUA